rnacentral:rRNA from 1 species
UACGUAGGGCGCAAGCGUUGUCCGGAAUUAUUGGGCGUAAAGAGCUCGUAGGCGGCUUGUCACGUCGGAUGUGAAAGCCCGGGGCUUAACUCCGGGUCUGCAUUCGAUACGGGCUGGCUAGAGUGUGGUAGGGGAGAUCGGAAUUCCUGGUGUAGCGGUGAAAUGCGCAGAUAUCAGGAGGAACACCGGUGGCGAAGGCGGAUCUCUGGGCCAUUACUGACGCUGAGGCGCGAAAGCGUGGGGAGCAAACGGG